rnacentral:ribozyme from 1 species
GUUUUUUUUUUUUUUUUUUUUUUUUUUUUUUUGCAUCGAGCCCAGUCUUCUCCUCGCGCUGCCUCAAUUGUUUCCUAGUGGCUCAACCCGCCCUCAUUAGACAACAGGGAAGAUAUCAAAUGGCGGGAGAAAUAACAAGAGGAUGUUGUUUCUAGGGGGUUUCGUCAAAGUAAAAUAAUCUUGGGAUUUUAGAGGAAUUUGAAAACGCCCAAAUUCCUUGUAGUAAAUUUGUCGUAAAAUGGGCUUUAUCACACAAUACUUGUGGUGGUUCUUCUAAAUAUGUUUUUUGACUAGAUUCAUU